rnacentral:tRNA from 1 species
GGGGUUGUGACUCAGUGGUAGAGUGCUUGCCUAGCAUGCAUGAGGCACUGGGUUUGAUCCUCAACACCG